UGCUUGAGGACAGCUUAUAACAUGACCAACUGCUUCAUGCUCUCACUGCCAUAAUGGGCAGUACUCUUAAAUGACAUCCAGUAGAAGAAUGUAUGAUGUCCAGGGAUGGUGGUGCUGAGUAGAAAGCCAGAAAGACUAACCUUUGGAAGCCCAGUGUUCCAACUGUGAUGGAAGGACCAGCAGUUUCUUUCCAUGAAAAAGUGCACAGCAGAUGAAAAGCCAGCAUAAAAGUCUUCUUCAGCUGCCCUGGCUCUGCUAACCAUCCAAGCCUACCUCACUCGGUUCCAAACACUGUGGCUUGGCAACACCGCACAAUAUCAAGCCAGAUUUGGUCAGUAAAUACCAAAC